GAGUUUGAUCUUGGCUCAGAUUGAACGCUGGCGGCAUGCCUUACACAUGCAAGUCGAACGGCAGCACGGGAGCUUGCUCCUGGUGGCGAGUGGCGAACGGGUGAGUAAUGCAUCGGAACGUAUCCUGGAGUGGGGGAUAACGUAGCGAAAGUUACGCUAAUACCGCAUAUUCUGUGAGCAGGAAAGCGGGGGACCUUCAGGCCUCGCGCUCUUGGAGCGGCCGAUGUCGGAUUAGCUAGUUGGUGAGGUAAAGGCUCACCAAGGCGACGAUCCGUAGCAGGUCUGAGAGGAUGAUCUGCCACACUGGAACUGAGACACGGUCCAGACUCCUACGGGAGGCAGCAGUGGGGAAUUUUGGACAAUGGGGGCAACCCUGAUCCAGCCAUGCCGCGUGAGUGAAGAAGGCCUCGGUU
rnacentral:rRNA from 1 species